GCCAGCGUAGCUCAAAGGUUAGAGCAGCGACCUGUUAAGUUGAAGAUGCUCCGUUCGAUCCGGGCCGCUGGUACCA
rnacentral:tRNA from 1 species